GCGCUGGUGGUGUAAUGGCGUAGAGCAUUCCCGCCCGGUUAGAGGGAGGUGCGGGUUCGAGUCCCGCCUGGCGCC
rnacentral:tRNA from 1 species